UCAUCAUCCAUAAAUACGUAUACGUACAAAAACACAGAAACGCAUACAACAAAAUGUUGCAAAUGUAUUCUAUCUCAUCUUAAAACCUGAUCGAACCAAUUAUAUUUGACGCCAGAAUGUUCACACAGUUGUCGGGUAAUUAUCGUUAUUUAAUUAGCUAGCCGUCAAUGUCUGAGCACUAAUCGCGAUCGAGCAAGUAAAUUUUGCAAAACGAUGUCCACUUUCGCAAUCGAUCGUUACAAACGGUGGUGAUCAAUUGGAACGAUAAUAAUCGGCUCGUAAAAAAGCGGUUGCCGCGAUUCGCUGAUGUUUGAUCUUUUUAUUAAGCGAAGUCGUUCUUCCGUCAUCGAGCGUGAUCGAAUUGCGUGAAGGAAAGAGAUUUUACGAUUUUUCACGAUUUAAUAGACGGAGUUGUUAAGCGACGGCGUUGCAAAAGCCAAUUAAUUCCAAGAACCUGCGAUCCGUGACAAAAUAUGCGAGCAUACGUAGUCACUUGCCUCGAAACGUGAUUCUUAAUCAUCGUGAAUCGACAGUUCAUGGAAGAAUGUUGCAUAUUGUAGUAGCCACCUAUCAUAUCAUUAGCCUUCCUAGCUUUCUCAUUUUACAAUGUUUCGUUAUCAAUUGCCUUUUAUCUAGCUUCCUUCUUCUCCUUCUUUUUGUUAUUUUCUUUCUUUUUCUUUUUUUGUUUUUUUGAGUGAGUAUCUCCUCACUAGAAAACCUCGAUACCUCUCACUAGGUGUUUUCUUACGGAGCAGACUUUGGGUUUUCAAUUCAUCAUUCUGCUUGAGACUGUUUGUGUUUGUGCCGUGAUUAUUUCCGAGAUUAUGGGUGUGUCGACGUUCAUCUAUGAUAAUUGACCAACUUUUUACGUUACCAGAUAGAGUUUUUAAGAUACUUGGAUCGUGUUUGUAAUUUAUAGCGGAAGUUACGUACUCAAGGUAUGUGUCGUUACGCAAAUACAAUUGUACGUUUCAUCGGUGGAGAAUAAUUUAAAUAUGUAAUAAUAUAGUGGUGUGUCGUAUCCAGCGAAUCUGAAAUAUGUCUGACUGUUAACGAUCUGUUUCUCCUGCGCUUGUAAUUCUCUGCGUUACAUUACAAGAAUAAUAACAGAGCGACGGAAUAUCGAAAUAUCGAAUGAUUUAACGUGUAAUACGGAAUAAAAACGAAAAAUAGUGAUAUGAAGUAAGAAUUUUCCAUGUGCUUGAUCACUAACGUUUUUCUUCACUUAUUUCCAGUUUUUUGCAUGAUAUCGAUAACGCAAGAAAAAAGUAUUACAUGUAAUAUGGAAAAGAACAUAAAAAUGAACAAAAACAUGUCUCGACAGUCAUCGAAAAAAAAAAAAAGAAAAUAAUUACAACAACGUAUUUUAUAUCUGACGAAUAACAAUCUUAUUUCUUCUUGUCCACUUGUAGCUUUUUUUACUUUUUUAUUAUAAAAUUCUUAUCUCGAAAGUGUCAUUGUUUUAAUUAUUAGGAAUGUGAAAUUUCUCAUCCAGCGAGCUUGAAAUGUGUUAUUUAAAUGGCCAUCGGUUUCAGAGAUAUUCGUAAAAAAUUUGUUUAGUUCUACGUAUUUUUUUGAAGUUCUGAUGUAGAUCGAAGUUAAGCUGAAGGUAUAAUUACGUUGUACGUCAAUCUGAGAACAAAAAAAAAAAAAAGAUAAUGAUGAAAGUUUA